rnacentral:rRNA from 1 species
UACGGAGGUUGCGAGCGUUAUCCGGAUUUAUUGGGUUUAAAGGGUGCGUAGGCGGAUUUUUAAGUCAGCGGUAAAAUGUCCGGGCUCAACCCGGGCCGGCCGUUGAAACUGGGGAUCUUGAGUGGGCGAGAAGUAUGCGGAAUGCGUGGUGUAGCGGUGAAAUGCAUAGAUAUCACGCAGAACUCCGAUUGCGAAGGCAGCAUACCGGCGCCCGACUGACGCUGAGGCACGAAAGCGUGGGGAUCGAACAGG